AUUGAACGCUGGAGGCGUGCUUAACACAUGCAAGUCGAACGAUGAAAUGGAGCUUGCUCCAUGGAUUAGUGGCGAACGGGUGAGUAACACGUGAAUAACCUGCCCUUAAUUUUGGAAUAACCCAGGGAAACCUGGGCUAAUACCGGAUAAGUAAACCUGUGGCAUCACAUGGUUUUGGAAAGUUUUUCGAUUAAGGAUGGAUUCGCGGCCUAUUAGCUUGUUGGUGAGGUAAUGGCUCACCAAGGCGACGACGGGUAGCCGGCCUGAGAGGGUGAACGGCCACACUGGGACUGAGACACGGCCCAGACUCCUACGGGAGGCAGCAGUGGGGAAUAUUGCGCAAUGGACGAAAGUCUGACGCAGCGACGCCUCGUGAGGGACGAAGGUCUUCGGAUUGUAAACCUCUUUCAGCAGGGACGAAGCGAAAGUGACGGUACCUGCAGAAGAAGCACCGGCUAACUAUGUGCCAGCAGCCGCCGUAAUAC
rnacentral:rRNA from 1 species